CACGUAAGGGGCGAGCGUUGUUCGGAAUUAUUGGGCGUAAAGGGCACGCAGGCGGCCCGGCAAGUCUGAUGUGAAACUCCUGGGCUCAACUCAGGGACCGCGUUGGAAACUGCCGAGCUGGAAUCUUGGAGGGGGAGUCGGAAUUCCUAGUGUAGGGGUGAAAUCUGUUGAUAUUAGGAAGAACACCGGUGGCGAAGGCGGACUCCUGGCCGAAGAUUGACGCUGAGGUGCGAAAGCAUAGGGAGCAAACAGG
rnacentral:rRNA from 1 species